rnacentral:tRNA from 1 species
GGUCUUAUAGUGUAGCGGUUAGCACAUCGGAUUUUGAUUCCGGGAACCCAAGUUCGAUUCUUGGUAAGACCU